rnacentral:lncRNA from 1 species
AGCUGCUACUGCUGUGACGAGAGGACAGAGGGCGAGGAGGCGGCCGAAAAGCCCCGGCGGCACGAAUGUCACAAGGCCGAGUCCCCGCCGCAGGAGCCGGCGGGCGACACGCAGGAGCACUGGCUGCACGAGGCCUGUGCCGUAUGGACCGCUGGGGUUUUCCUGGUGGCGGGGAAGCUCUAUGGGCUGCAGGAGGCUGUCAAGGCGGCUGCCGACCUGAAGUGCUCGAGCUGCCAGCAAGUGGGAGCCACUGUGGGCUGCUGCCAGAAGGGGUGUCCCCACACCUACCACUACGCGUGUGCCGUCGACACAGGUGAGCCCGGCCACGGGGUUGGGGCACGGGGUCCUGGGCAGCUGAAUGAUGCUCCAGGGUCUCUGGAUCUCUGACCCAGCUGAAUGAUGCUCCAGGGUCUCUGGAUCUCUGACCCAGCUGAAUGAUGCUCCAGGGUCAGGGGUGCGGCUCGCUGGCUUGCCAGGAUGGUGGUGCCCGCUUUGCCAGCAGCACUAGCAGGUGUCACAAGCUUCUCUGGCCUCAGCUGAGCCCUUCACACAAAUGCUGUGGAUGGUGGGUGGCCGUGGACCAGGGGGACACUGCAUCCCCCCACUCUGGGGCAGCUGCCUCACAGUGCAGGGUGUCCCCUGACACAUCCUUGUCCUCUCCUUGCAGGUUGCUUAUUAACUGAGGAGAGCUUCUCUCUGAGAUGUCCCAAACAUAAGGUAAGCCCAGAGCCCCCCUGUGCACCCCUCAAUGAUCUGCAGCUCUCUGUGGCAGGAGGACCUGCCUUCAGACCCCGAAUUCCUGGGGACACCCAUCCUGGAUGCUCAGCUCUGUAUGGGCAUCACAUCCCUGGGGAUAUCGGUGGGUGCUGCUGGGUCUGGGACACCCCAGCUGGGUCUGAGGGGUCUUAUCCCCUUCUCUGAGCACAGAGGAGGUGGUGAAUGGAUGGCUGAGCCCCUUCUCAAAGCGCUGCGUCCCGGGUGAAUGCCCGGUUAUUGGCGGG